rnacentral:rRNA from 1 species
ACAAGACCUUCGGGUCUAGUGGCGCACGGGUGCGUAACGCGUGGGAAUCUGCCCUUCGGCUCGGAAUAACUCAGGGAAACUUGAGCUAAUACCGGAUGAUGUCUUCGGACCAAAGAUUUAUCGCCGAAGGAUGAGCCCGCGUCGGAUUAGCUAGUUGGUGAGGUAAAGGCUCACCAAGGCGACGAUCCGUAGCUGGUCUGAGAGGAUGAUCAGCCACACAGGGACUGAGACACGGCCCAGACUCCUACGGGAGGCAGCAGUGGGGAAUAUUGGACAAUGGGCGAAAGCCUGAUCCAGCAAUGCCGCGUGAGUGAUGAAGGCCUUAGGGUUGUAAAGCUCUUUUACCCGGGAUGAUAAUGACAGUACCGGGAGAAUAAGCCCCGGCUAACUCCGUGCCAGCAGCCGCGGUAAUACGGAGGGGGCUAGCGUUG